GGCCUCCCUCUGUGGGGCGAUCGAUCACGGGGCUCCAUGAUCGAUUACCCAGCAGAGGGAGGCC
rfam:Myotis lucifugus cont2.69393, whole genome shotgun sequence.